AAGAAAUUAAAAUACGUAAUAUAUCAAUUAAAUUAAUAGAUAUUAUAAAUGAUUAUAAGAGGCAAGGAAUUAAAACUGUUGUAGUAAAAAACAAAGAAAAUCUGUAAAAAAAAGGAAGUAUUGAGGGGAACAAUCAAAAUUAUCCAGAAGAAAUAAUGGAUAAGAAAGAUUCUUUAAAUUAUAAUUAUAUACUGAAAAGUACUGUCAGUAUUGGUACUGAAAAAACAUUGAUACUGAAGUAGCAACAAUUUUUCAGUAGCGAAAAUACAGAAUACAAUAAUAAAACUAACACAUCAAGCAGCGAUAUAAGUAACAUUAUAGAUUCAAGCUUAUAUAAUCUCUUUGACAAAAUCUGAAACUGAAAUAUGCAAAUUUCUUAGUACUAAUCAAUCAACAAGUUGCAACAUAAAUAAUAAAUCAAGGGACAUAAACUUAAAUAAAAAAUUAUAUACAUAAUAUUAUUGAAAAUAAAAUCUUACCAAUACUAAAUAUAAACAAAAAAGCUGUUAUUAAGAAAAACUACAUUAGAGAAAAAGGAUGCAUAUAGAAACACAAUUGAAGAUAAUUCUUCUGGUCUUAAUGCAUAAUAAUUAAAGAUCAAAUUAAAAUGAUUUUUAAAAUAAUGAAAUGAGGAAUUAUUUGAUUCCAAAUGGAUGUUGUAUGUCCUCCGAUUGCGAAGAUAAUAUAAUAAAUGAUAUUUCUUUAAAUAAAACUAGCAAAAUGAAUAUACUAUCAAAGCAGACAUUUGAAAUUGAAACAGAAUAUUGUAAUAUUCAGAAAGGUGGUAUACUGCCAAAAAGUCAACGAAACAAUUGUAUAUUCUCAACAAGAUGAAGAUGAAGAUUUUACACAGUUUACUGUCACACAACAUGAAAAUUUAAUGACUAAAAACAUGCAAAACAAAAACAUUUUACAUUCCGUUGCCAAAAACAUACAUGAUAAGAAAAUUACAACACAUUUGAAUAAUGAUUGCAAUAAUAAUUUAAAAAAGAGAAGUUACUGAAUAUGUUAAAUAUAAUAAACCAAGAUGGUAGCAAUGACGAUAGUUUAUGACCAAAUGUAACACAAGAUAUUACUAGUGAAUAUAUAC